CGUGCCCGCAGCGCCGCUCCGCCAGUUCGGGCCGGCGGCGGGAGGAGAGGCUCGGGUCGGGGGCGGCUGCGCGGAGCCCCGCUGCCCCUGCUGAGGCCGCCUGGCCUCGGGCCUGCGGAGCCGGGGAUGGGGAUGUGCGAGGAUUCGCAGAGCGCGAACGGCCGCUGUCGCGGAUUUGUCUCUGUGUCGACGGCCUCUCCAAAAUGUAAAAACCAACACACGUUCUUCGCUGCUGGCCUUGCAGAAACAGGCGCGGGCGCGGUUAGGAUGGGCUGGACGGCACUUGCCCGGGCGCGAGGCUAGAGCCGCUUUGCCAGCCCGGGCCCGCGCCCGCGCCCGCGCCCGCGCCCGGGCCCAGCGCAGCGUUGCAGCAAGGAAGGACUUCGACUCCUCGAGGGCCAUCACCCGCCCGCUGCCUGGGCUCCCCCAGUGCCCAGACCAGCUCUGCACCCCCCUGGGCCCCUACCCUGCAGCUCUGCUGCUGCUCCCCAGCGGGCGGCCCCCGGUGAGCUCCUGCAGGCAGCAGGGCCACCAAGAAAGCCCCCAGACCCGCAGUCCACCCCUGCUCGAGGGUGCCACAUGAUUUCCUAUCUAGGAAUAAAAGGGCAAAGUUCCUGCGUCGUGAAUGAAUUACAAUAAAAUGAGACAGCAUUCAGGCUUCAGGAUGGAUGAUGAAUGUUCAAAAAGAAAAGAGAUGGAAAAUCAUCAAAAUUACCAUAAACUGUGCUGUCAACUGAAUGCAUGUUCCUUUGUAGCAUAUGCAGAGUCCAGGAAAAUUAUAUUCCUGCAUUAUAUAAUCCACCAACAUCCUCCUAACCUAUUGUCCUAAUCCUGGUUUUUUUUUUGUUGUUGUUUUUUAAGGUUUUAUUUACUUACUGGAGAGGGAGAGGAAAAAGCAGACUCUCCCCUGACCCUGAGAUCAUGACCUGAGCCGAGGUCAGAAGUCAGACGCUUAACCGACUGAGCCACCCAGGUGCCCCUUAAUCUAGGUUAUUCUUGAAAGCAGUGCCUGAGACAAAGGUAGGCACAUUCUAUUUCAAAAUGUGAUCCCAGGGAGCAGGAAUGAAAGGAGUGAACAGGGGAAAAAGGAAAGAAUAUCCAAGCAAAACAGGUAGUGUUAUGGAGUAGUCCGCCACUGUUAAUAGAUUACUUAGCAUGUGCAGAUCCUUCUCAGGAUUCUUAUUCAGCUUUGUCUCAGAACCACCGACUCCCAAAGAAUGAAAUGGAGUAGGAUUUAUCUCUCAGCAGCAUCUCAUCCUUGUUGAAGGCUGCUCCUAAGGGGUGUUAACUGCUCCAUCUCCAUGGCGAUGCAAAGACUAGAGAGCCGGUACCACAGCAUCACACACUGCUGCAUCAGAGAAGCCUUAGGACAGGAAGCUACAUUCCUGGUGCAUACCUGAAGCGAGGCAUUAUCAACACAGAGCAGGGCAAAACCUGCUCCAGACAGUUCACCAGAGCUGUGGCUGGAAUCAGAGGUUAGAGAAUGUAGGACGGUGCACAAGAGGUAUCUUACAAGCCUAUAGAAGGUGCUCGUAGCCUCAUCUAAAUCUGUAUCCUCCUUUCUAUAGUCAAAAUUCCAGCAUCCAGCACUGUGUGGCUCAGUCGGGUGUCUGCCUUUGGCUCAGGUCAUGAUCCUGGGGUCCUGGGAUCCAGCCCUGUGUGGGCUUCACGCUCAGCACCAAGUCUGCUUGUCGCUCUCUUUCUUCUCCCCCAACUCAUGCUUUCUCUCUCUCUCUCUCUUAAAUAAACAAAAUCUUAAAGCAAAAAUUUCAGUGUCCAGAACAAGGUUGGCAAAAGGGUAAGAGCAAAGGUUAAAUGUAUUAGAAGAUGUAUUUAAUAAUAGUUCUAUUAGAACGGAGUUGAAUAAAAAUUGACUUGGAAGAUUCAAUAAUGAUUCUACUUUAAAAAUUGGACCUUUGGAUAGAGAUAUUAGACAUAUUCUCAUGUAAUCUCUCAAAAACAAUCAUGAAUUGUCUGGGGGCAAGUGGAGAAAUAAAAAUAACCAUUUCUUGUGUCUCUGAGCUUUAUAGAUCAACAUCAUUAACUUUUCCUAAAAUACUGUUUUUUACUGUCACACAGCACUAGUGAUACAGAGCUUAUAACGAAUUAAGGGAAAAUUGGUAGA